rnacentral:tRNA from 1 species
CCUGGUGGCUCAGAGGUAAAGCAUCUGCCUGCCAUGCAGGAGACCCAGGUUCGAUCCCCGGGUCAGGA